GAUGAACGCUGGCGGCGUGCCUAAUACAUGCAAGUCGAGCGAACAGACGAGGAGCUUGCUCCUCUGACGUUAGCGGCGGACGGGUGAGUAACACGUGGAUAACCUACCUAUAAGACUGGGAUAACUUCGGGAAACCGGAGCUAAUACCGGAUAAUAUAUUGAACCGCAUGGUUCAAUAGUGAAAGACGGUUUUGCUGUCACUUAUAGAUGGAUCCGCGCCGCAUUAGCUGGUUGGGAAGGUAACGGCUUACCAAGGCGACGAUGCGUAGCCGACCUGAGAGGGUGAUCGGCCACCCUGGAACUGAGACACGGUCCAGACUCCUACGGGAGGCCGCAGUCGGGAAUCUUCCGCAGUGGGCGAGAGCAUGACGGAGCAGCGCCGCGUGAGUGAUGACGGUCUUCGGAUCGUAAUACUCUGUUAUUGGGUAAAAACAAAUGUGUAAGUAACUAUGCACGUCUUGACGGUACCUAGUCAGAAAGCCACGGCUAACUACGUG
rnacentral:rRNA from 1 species